rnacentral:rRNA from 1 species
CCUACGGGAGGCAGCAGUGGGGGAUAUUGCACAAUGGGGGAAACCCUGAUGCAGCGACGCCGCGUGUGGGAAGACGGUCUUCUGGAUUGUAAACCACUGUCUCCAGGGACGAAAAUGACGGUACCUGGGGAGGCAGCUCCGGCUAACUACGUGCCAGCAGCCGCGGUAAUACGUAGGGCGCAAGCGUUGUCCGGAGUUACUGGGUGUAAAGGGAGCGUAGGCGGGGAUGCAAGUUGGGUGUCAAAACUACCGGCUCAACCGAUAGUCGCACUCAAAACUGCAUCUCUUGAGUGAAGUAGAGGCAGGCGGAAUGCCUAGUGUAGCGGUGAAAUGCGUAGAUAUUAGGAGGAACACCAGUGGCGAAGGCGGCCUGCUGGGCUUUUACUGACGCUGAGGCUCGAAAGUGUGGGGAGCAAACAGGAUUAGAUACCCGUGUAGUC